rnacentral:rRNA from 1 species
UACGGUAGGGGGCUAGCGUUGUCCGGAAUCAUUGGGCGUAAAGAGCGUGUAGGCGGCCCGGUAAGUCCGCUGUAAAAGUCAAAGGCUCAACCUUUGAAUGUCAGUGGAUACUGUCGGGCUAGAGUCCGGAAGAGGCGAGUGGAAUUCCUGGUGUAGCGGUGAAAUGCGCAGAUAUCAGGAAGAACACCCGUGGCGAAGGUGGCUCUCUGGGACGGUACUGGACGCUGAGACGGCGAAAGCGUGGGGAGCGAACAGG